rnacentral:rRNA from 1 species
ACCGCGUGUGUGAAGAAGGCCUUAGGGUUGUAAAGCACUUUCAAUUGGAAGGAAAAACUCAUGGCCAAUACCCGUGAGCUUGACAUUACCUUUAGAAGAAGCACCGGCUAACUCCGUGCCAGCAGCCGCGGUAAUACGGAGGGUGCAAGCGUUAAUCGGAAUUACUGGGCGUAAAGCGUGCGUAGGCGGCUCGCUAAGUCAGAUGUGAAAGCCCCGGGCUCAACCUGGGAACGGCAUUUGAAACUGGCAAGCUAGAGUUUAGGAGAGGAGAGUGGAAUUUCAGGUGUAGCGGUGAAAUGCGUAGAGAUCUGAAGGAACACCAGUGGCGAAGGCGACUCUCUGGCCUAAAACUGACGCUGAGGUACGAAAGCGUGGGUAGCAAACAGGAUUAGAUACCCUGGUUAGUCCACGCCGUAAACGAUGUCAACUAACCGUUGGCUCUCUUAGAGAGUUAGUGGCGCAGCUAACGCAUUAAAGUUGACCGACUGGGGAGUACCGGACGGCAGGUUAAAAAAUUCAAAUGAAUUGACGG